AGUCCCAACUCUCGAAGUUGCUUUGCAGCUCAUCGUCAAACUCAGCAGCCUUCCUUCUUUCGGAGAUCUCAAACGCCUUCCUUCUUUCGGAGAUCUCAAACGCCCUAUAAUUAUAAACUGAAUUUGGAAUUUAGGAGGAACUUGGUUUGCGAUUGAUUAUGGGCGCAAGUACCAUCUCUAUCUCCAGCCACUGCUGUUCUUCAUCUUCGCCUUAUCCCAAUUUGUCCUCUCUUUCGUCUCACCAAAAUCCCAAUAAUUUUUUAUUUCCUGCCACUUCUCCUAAACUAACUACUGCUUCUUUGCAAUUCAACUCCACCGCUUUUCCUUCUAUAGCUUCCAUGCAAGAUGGUUCUUUGGCUGCAACAGUUGCUGGAUUGCAAAAUGAAGCUCCUUUGAAAAAAUUGAAAGAUGGGCUGACGUCAGUUAAAGAGAACACGCAGCUUAGUAAUUUUGAUGUUAAUGAUGGUAGAUCAACCACGAGUAUUACUGUUGUAGGGGCCUCUGGGGAUCUUGCAAAGAAGAAGAUAUUUCCUGCUCUUUUUGCACUAUACUAUGAGGAUUGCCUACCUGAGCAUUUCACUAUCUUUGGUUAUGCCCGUAGUAAGAUGACAGAUGCUGAACUAAGAAAUAUGGUUAGCAAGACUCUUACUUGCAGAAUUGAUAAGAGCGAAAAUUGUGGUGAAAAGAUGGAGCAGUUCCUACAAAGAUGUUUCUACCACUCUGGUCAAUAUGAUUCUCAGGAGAAUUUUGCUGAGCUUGAUAAGAUACUAAAGGAGCAUGAGGCUGGUCGGGUUUCAAAUCGGCUAUUUUAUUUAUCUAUCCCACCAAACAUAUUCGUAGAUGCUGUAAAAUGUGCCAGUCUCUCUGCUUCUGCUUCUGCUGGCUGGACUAGGGUCAUUGUUGAAAAACCAUUUGGCCGGGAUUCUGAAUCUUCGGCCGCUUUGACUAAAUCUUUAAAGCAAUAUCUGGACGAGGAUCAGAUUUUUAGGAUAGAUCAUUACCUAGGAAAGGAGCUAGUGGAGAACCUGUCUGUCCUUCGCUUCUCAAAUCUUAUUUUUGAACCCUUAUGGUCAAGACAGUAUAUAAGGAAUGUUCAAUUGAUAUUCUCCGAGGACUUUGGCACUGAAGGAAGGGGAGGCUACUUUGACCACUACGGAAUCAUGAGAGACAUAAUGCAAAAUCAUCUGCUCCAAAUAUUGGCCCUCUUUGCCAUGGAAACACCUGUCAGUUUGGAUGCUGAAGAUAUCAGAAAUGAAAAGGUUAAAGUUUUGCGCUCCAUGAGACCUAUAAGAGUCGAUGAUGUAAUCAUAGGGCAGUAUAAGAGUCACACAAAAGGAGGCGUCUCAUACCCGGGAUAUACAGAUGACAAAACCGUUCCCAAAAAUAGUUUAACCCCAACUUUUGCUGCUGCUGCACUUUUUAUUGAUAAUGCAAGAUGGGAUGGUGUGCCUUUUUUAAUGAAAGCUGGAAAAGCUUUACAUGAUAAAAGGGCUGAAAUAAGGGUGCAGUUCAGACAUGUACCUGGUAAUUUAUACAAUCGAAACUUCGGGACUGAUCUGGACCUAGCAACAAAUGAGCUUGUAAUCCGGGUUCAGCCUGAUGAAGCUAUUUAUUUGAAGAUUAAUAACAAAGUCCCGGGACUAGGGAUGAGAUUGGACCGAAGCAAUCUUAAUCUUCUUUAUAAAGCAAGGUACUCUAAGGAGAUACCUGAUGCGUAUGAGAGACUUCUACUGGAUGCUGUUGAGGGUGAGAGGAGACUCUUCAUCAGGAGUGACGAAUUAGAUGCUGCGUGGGCACUUUUCACCCCUGUAUUGAAGGAUCUCGAAGAAAAGAAAAAGAUUCCCGAGUAUUAUCCUUAUGGAAGUCGAGGACCAGUAGGGGCUCAUUACCUUGCAGCCAGAUACAACGUUAAGUGGGGUGAUCUUGGGGUUGACGAAUAGCAUCCGAGUCCAAAAAUAUAUUUAUGAAAUCUGCACUUCACUAGUCACAGGGGGAGGAUGCGGAAACCAUGUAUUCGGAUCCCAGAAAUUGAACAUCGGUGGUGAUGCAGGAGGAGGAGGAACAGAUGGAAAUGGAAAAGGCAAAGACGGAGGAUUUGGAGGAAAUGGGAAAUAAGGGAAAGGGGGAAGCUGAGGCAAUGGUGGAAGUUGAGGCAGUGGUGGAAGCUGAGGCAGUGGCGGAAGUUGAGGCAGCGGGGGGAGCUGAGGAAGUGGAGGCAACGGUGGCCAAGGGAAUACGCUGUAAGGAGGAAAGAAAAACUUGGAAGUAUUGAAUAAUGUUGGACUGGGAAUCCCACAAAGAGUGAGAUUUCUCUGUGGUGGUUUGUAAGUCAAGGCGCCUAAGGUGUAGGUGCAGGCAUUGGUUCGGUUUGAUCUUAGUGUAAUGUGCGAUGAAAUGGUUUUCACGGCUGGGAGAUUGCAGGUGGUGAUGGGUGCGGAGAGAGGGAGCAAAGUUGCCUUGCACAGUGACUGGAUGGUGGGAUGUCGGGUGCAGUCGACGCUUCCAUCAACACAAGGAAUCUCCACUCUGUAGAUUCCAAAUCUAUCUGUGCUUCUGUUCACUGAGAAUGAUAUAUCUUCCCUGCUCCUUGCCCAUCUUCUUUUCAUUUUGCACUCGAUGUUAACAUCGACACCUGCACCAAACCAAACCGAACCUAAUCACUCUGCUAGUCCUAUU